rnacentral:rRNA from 1 species
CGUGACCAACCUGCCCCAUGCUCCAGAAUAGCUCUUGGAAACGGGUGGUAAUGCUGGAUGCUCCAACUUGACGCGUGUCUUGUUGGGAAAGUGUUUAGUGGCAUGGGAUGGGGUCGCGUCCUAUCAGCUUGUAGGCGGGGUAAUGGCCCACCUAGGCUUCGACGGGUAGCCGGCCUGAGAGGGCGGACGGCCACAUUGGGACUGAGAUACGGCCCAGACUCCUACGGGAGGCAGCAGCC